UGGGGAAUUUUGGACAAUGGGCGAAAGCCUGAUCCAGCAAUGCCGCGUGUGUGAAGAAGGCCUUCGGGUUGUAAAGCACUUUUGUCCGGAAAGAAAUCCUUGGCUCUAAUACAGUCGGGGGAUGACGGUACCGGAAGAAUAAGCACCGGCUAACUACGUGCCAGCAGCCGCGGUAAUACGUAGGGUGCAAGCGUUAAUCGGAAUUACUGGGCGUAAAGCGUGCGCAGGCGGUUUGCUAAGACCGAUGUGAAAUCCCCGGGCUCAACCUGGGAACUGCAUUGGUGACUGGCAGGCUAGAGUAUGGCAGAGGGGGGUAGAAUUCCACGUGUAGCAGUGAAAUGCGUAGAGAUGUGGAGGAAUACCGAUGGCGAAGGCAGCCCCCUGGGCCAAUACUGACGCUCAUGCACGAAAGCGUGGGAGAA
rnacentral:rRNA from 1 species